AAGCUUGCUUUUUCUAGGCGUCGACCGGCGCACGGGUGAGUAACGCGUAUCCAACCUGCCCAUCACUUGGGGAUAACCUUGCGAAAGUAAGACUAAUACCCAAUGACGUCCAUAGAGGACAUCUGAAAUGGAUUAAAGAUUUAUCGGUGAUGGAUGGGGAUGCGUCUGAUUAGCUUGUUGGCGGGGUAACGGCCCACCAAGGCGACGAUCAGUAGGGGUUCUGAGAGGAAGGUCCCCCACAUUGGAACUGAGACACGGUCCAAACUCCUACGGGAGGCAGCAGUGAGGAAUAUUGGUCAAUGGGCGAGAGCCUGAACCAGCCAAGUAGCGUGCAGGAUGACGGCCCUAUGGGUUGUAAACUGCUUUUAUAAGGGAAUAAAGUGGGAGUCGUGACUCCUUUUGCAUGUACCUUAUGAAUAAGGACCGGCUAAUUCCGUGCCAGCAGCCGCGGUAAUACGGAAGGUCCGGGCGUUAUCCGGAUUUAUUGGGUUUAAAGGGAGCGUAGGCCGGAGAUUAAGCGUGUUGUGAAAUGUAGACGCUCAACGUCUGCACUGCAGCGCGAACUGGUUUCCUUGAGUACGCACAAAGUGGGCGGAAUUCGUGGUGUAGCGGUGAAAUGCUUAGAUAUCACGGAGAACUCCGAUUGCGAAGGCAGCUCACUGGAGCGCAACUGACGCUGAAGCUCGAAAGUGCGGGUAUCGAACAGGAUUAGAUACCCUGGUAGUCCGCACGGUAAACGAUGGAUGCCCGCAGUUGG
rnacentral:rRNA from 1 species